CAGUAAUUUAGGUCUGUUUGAUAGGGACAGGGUGUAAAAACCCAGGCAUUGCUAACUAGCUGUUAGCGACAGAGGGGAUGUUUUAAUGAGGACCGCAGGAGACACAGCUGUUCUUGUAAAUGGGCAUCUUCUCCGUUUCAUUGAGAUGCGCGCUGAAUAGGAUGCAGGAAACACUAAUUAAAGCAGUGGGUGAUGAAAGUUUACAGAGAAACGGGCUGUCAUUUCUAGCUGAGACUUGGAUACUUUAUCAACAUGCUAACUUGCAGGCGAAAGGUUAGAAAAUACAAAAUCACAACAAUGCUUAACGCUGGUUAUUAGCUUUCUGCUUAGAUUAGAGAGUUUAGCAGAGAGCACUGUAAAACAAGAAAAAAAAAGAAGAAAAUGUGCAGUCGUUAAGAAAACUAUUUUUACAAGAUUUGCUAAUUACAGGAAUGGUACAUCUGCUAUCAAUCUCAGCUGUGUUUAUAUUCAUUCAUAAAUAGUGCAUCAACAUUUUUUUGUGAAUAUCAUAGUAGAAAUUUCAUUCUGUUCCUCACACAAAACUUCUGUAUAGCUCACAAUUGAUAUGGGACACUUUUAUGAGAUUUUUAUAGUAUUUUGUCCAUCUCAGGUUCAUUGAACAAAUGAAAAACAUUUUUGAAAAAUUAUAUUAAGUUGUUUCUUGCAUGAUUUGCAACACGUUCAAAGUGAAACAUCUAGUGAAAGACACUAAAAGUGCAUUUGGUUUUGUCUAAAACAAUGAUUUAGUGGGAACACGGGUGAGAUAGGAAAAGCCGUCUCCAGCCCGUCCCCAGAUAUGCGAGAAGCACAGUCAGCCCCCUUAUUUUUCCCGCGAGCUGACUGCGCGAGCUGCGCUCCUCAUUAAUGCUGCUCGUUAUAAUGUUUUGGCAUAAUAUGCUUGUGAAACUGAUGCUUGUGCAACUGAUGUCUGUGCAACUGAGGUUUAUGCAGCUGAUGUUUGUGUAACUGCGAACUCAUCGACGCCCUCCGUGUCAAUCUCCUCGGAGAAAGAAAGGCGGUGCGUCGCGGCCGUUACUCAGGGGGAAGGAACCGCAGCGCGGGCUUCCGAGCCUCGAGAACGAACUCUAGAUCUAGGGAACACGGGUGAGAUAGGAAAAGCCGUCUCCAGCCCGUCCCCAGAUAUGCGAGAAGCACAGUCAGCCCCCUUAUUUUUCCCGCGAGCUGACUGCGCGAGCUGCGCUCCUCAUUAAUGCUGCUCGUUAUAAUGUUUUGGCAUAAUAUGCUUGUGAAACUGAUGCUUGUGCAACUGAUGUCUGUGCAACUGAGGUUUAUGCAGCUGAUGUUUGUGUAACUGCGAGCUCAUCGACGCCCUCCGUGUCAAUCUCCUCGGAGAAAGAAAGGCGGUGCGUCGCGGCCGUUACUCGGGUGGAAGGACCGCAGCGCGGGCUUCCGAACCCAGAGAUCAGGCAGAUCUGGCGGGUGAGGUAGGAGAUAGGGAAGCGCCCGUCUCCAUUCCCUCCAGCAGA
ensembl:lncRNA